rnacentral:rRNA from 1 species
ACAACUUCAGAUCAGAUGUGGCGGCCCACUGAAUUUAAUCAUAUUACUCAGGUGAGGAAAAUAAACUAACCAGGAUUCCCUCAGUAAUGGUGAUUGAUGAGAGAAGAGCCCAGCACUGAAUCCCCAUCUAGUGGUGGGUUUGAGAUAUGAGCCAUGCAAAAAACAGGCUCCUCAGCGUCCAAGUCCUUCUGAUGAUGGCUCACACUGUGGAUGGUUUUAGCUGGAAGUGGCCAUCGGCGCACCGGGAACAGAUCUUGUCGGUGUCGGGUAGCUUGGAAAUGCGGCCAAAGCAGGUGGUAAACUCCAUCUAAGGUUAAGUAUGGGUGCAGGGUUGAUAGGAAACACGUACUUUAAGGGAAUUUGAAUAGAACUUUAAAGAGAAAAUCCAGGAGGGCAUAAAACCGUUGUGAGGUAAAUGGGUGUGGUCCGUGCAGUGAGAAUUCAACUCAGCAGGCAGGUCAGUCAACCGGACCUGUGGAUCAUUUUGCGGGUCCACUGCCUGUGUGCGCAUGGCCCGCCUUGCCCGCUCUAUCAGGGAGGCAGAGCAUGAAUGUGUGUGACAGGACACCAAAGAUAGCAAACUCUGCCUGGGCAUGGUGAAGAUAGAGGACACUCUAGUGGAGGUCCACAGCGGUCCCGAUGUGCAAAAUGGUUUUCCAACCUGGAUAGAGGGGUGAAAGACUAAUCAAAGCAUCUAGGAGCUGGAUCCCUCCAAAGUUUCCCCCAGGAUAGCUGGUGCUCUCGAAACCCCAGUUUUAUCUGGUUAAGUGAAUAAUUGGAGGUCUUGGGACCGAAACCAUCUCAACAUAUUCUUAAACUUGAAAUGGGGAAGAAGCUUGGCUCGCUGGCACGGAGCUAGGCAUCGAAUGCAAGUAUACAGUAGCCUACUUUUGGCAAGCAGAACUGCCGCUGUUGAAUUAAUCCAAUGCCGGGUUAAGGCGCCUGAUGCUGAUGCUAAACUGUCCCCAAAAAAGGUGCUUGUUGAUAUAGACAGCAGGACGGUGGCUAUGAAAGUCCAGAUCUGCUAAGAAGUGUGUAACAACUCACCUGCUGAAUCAACUGGCACUGAAAUUGGAUAGCACUGGAGUGUAGGGUCCAUACCCGGCCGUUGUUGGCACUGAAAGUCGCGGGGGCUGACCCACGAUAUGCAGGAGGGUCGCCGCGGUGUACCCAAAAGCCCAGGGCGAGGACCUGUGUAGAGCCCUUGCAGAUGCAGUUCUUUGUGGUAGUAGACAAUAUUCAAAUGAGAACUUUGAAGUUUGAAGUUUGAAGUGGAGAAGGGCUCAAUGUGAACAGCAGUUUAACAUGGGUUGGUCCUAAGAGAUGAGCGGAUAGGCGAUGGCCUCUGUUGCCCACAACCGAUUGAAAGGGAGUUAGGUUCAGAUCCACGAACCCGAAAUGGCAGAGAUGGGUGCCCUCGCAGCAUCCAGUGUGGUAAAUGAUCCUGGAGAAGCUAGCAGGAGCCCUGGAAGAGUUUUAUUUCCUUUUGAAGGUCAGGGCACCCUGGAAUGGGUUUGCCCUGAGAGAGAGUUCUGAGCCUUGGAAAGCGUUGUGGUUCCAACAGCAUCCAGUGAGCUCUUGCUGGUCCUUGAAAAUCUGGAGGACAUGGUGUAAAUCUUGUACCGGGUCACACCCAUAUCUGCAGCAGGUCUCCAAGGUGAACACUCUCUGUCAUGCUAGAACAAUGUAGGUAAGUGAAGUUGGCAUGUCAAAUCCGUAACUUUGGGAUACAGAUUGGCUGUAAGGGCUAGGUAGUUUGGGCGGGGUGUGAUGUGGUGCUUGGCACAGACCACAGCUGGAUGUGGCGUCUCCCAUCUCAAAGCUGUGACCUUCGUAGGGAUCACUGCAGCUGCGGUUGUCGCCUCUCUCCAUUCCCUCCUGGAGUUUGGGACCAGCGGUCUGCCUUUGAGAACUCCUGGAAGCUGACUUAGAACUGGUGGGGAGCAGGGGAAUCCAACUGUUUCAUUCAAACAAAGCAUCGUGAAGGGCCGUGGCUGGUGUUGACAUGAUUAGAUUUCUGCACAGUGCUCUGAAUGUAAAAGUGAAGAAAUUUAAUGAAGCACUGGUAAAUGGCAGGAUUGCCUAUGACUCUCUUGAACUAGUCAAGUGCUUCGUUAUCUAGUUGGUGACGAGCAUGAAUGGAUGAACGAGAUUCCCACUGUCCCUACCUACUAUCUUGCAAAACCACAGCCAAGGGAAUGGACUUGGCAUAAUCGGUGGAGAAAGAAGACCCUGUUGAGUGUGACUCUGGUCUGGCACUGUGAAGAGAUAUGACAAGCAAAGGAUAAGUGGGAGGCCAUCCGUCCACUAGUGAAAUACCACUAGUCUUAUUGUUUUUUUACUAACCCAAUGAGGCGGGGGAGAGAGCUCUGUGGGGCUUUUGUUUCUGACUACAAGUGCCUGGCGCCUGUCAGGCACAAUCCGCUCAUGGACAGUGGCAGGUGGGGAGUUUGACUGGGGCCGUACACCUGUCAAACAAUAAUGCAGGUGUCCCAAGGUGAGCUCAUGGAGGACAGAAAACUCAUGUGGAGCAGAAGGGCAAACACUGAUGUUCUGCAUGAAUACAGACCAUUCAAGCUGGGCCUCAUGAUCCUUCUGACUCUUUGGGUUUCAAGCAUGAGGUGUCAGUAAAAUGGCCACAGGAAUAACUGGCUUGUGGUGGCCAAUCAGUCAUAGUGACAUUGCUUUUUUAUCCUUCAAUAUUGGCUCUUUCUAUCACUGUGAGGCAGAAUUCACCAAGUGUUGGAUUGUUGACCACUAAUAGGGAACGUAAGCUAGGUUUAGUCUGUCCUGAGACAGGUUAGUUUUAUCCUGCUGAUUAUGUGUUUUUGCAUUAGUAAUCUUGUUCAGUAUGAGAGGAAUCACAGAUUCAGACAUUCAGUGUAUGUACUUAGCUGAGGAGCCAAUGGGGCUAAGCUAUCUCUGUGAGAUUAUGACUGAAUGCCUCCAAGUCAGAAUCCCCCCUAAACUGUAAUGAUACUGCAGUGCUGUGGAGUUUCAGCUGGCCUCUGGGCUGGUGCGUAAAGCUGCUCACCUUAGGACUCGAUUGUGUACAGAAGGGGGUCACCUCUCUCACCUGUAGUGCACCGCAUGUUUGUGGGAAACAUGGUGCUAUACAUUCAUAUACGACCUGAUUCUGGGUC